rnacentral:rRNA from 1 species
GGUUAAGCGACUAAGCGUACACGGUGGAUGCCCUGGCAGUCAGAGGCGAUGAAGGGCGUGCUAAUCUGCGAUAAGCGCCGGUAAGGUGAUAUGAACCGUUAUAACCGGCGAUACCCGAAUGGGGAAACCCAGUGUGACUCGUCACACUAUCAUUAACUGAAUCCAUAGGUUAAUGAGGCGAACCGGGGGAACUGAAACAUCUAAGUACCCCGAGGAAAAGAAAUCAACCGAGAUUCCCCCAGUAGCGGCGAGCGAACGGGGAGGAGCCCAGAGCCUGAAUCAGCAUGUGUGUUAGUGGAAGCGUCUGGAAAGGCGCGCGAUACAGGGUGACAGCCCCGUACACAAAAGCGCAUGUGCUGUGAGCUCGAUGAGUAGGGCGGGACACGUGGUAUCCUGUCUGAAUAUGGGGGGACCAUCCUCCAAGGCUAAAUACUCCUGACUGACCGAUAGUGAACCAGUACCGUGAGGGAAAGGCGAAAAGAACCCCGGCGAGGGGAGUGAAAAAGAACCUGAAACCGUGUACGUACAAGCAGUGGGAGCACCCUUUGGGGUGUGACUGCGUACCUUUUGUAUAAUGGGUCAGCGACUUAUAUUCUGUAGCAAGGUUAACCGUAUAGGGGAGCCGGAGGGAAACCGAGUCUUAACCGGGCGUUAAGUUGCAGGGUAUAGACCCGAAACCCGGUGAUCUAGCCAUGGGCAGGUUGAAGGUUGGGUAACACUAACUGGAGGACCGAACCGACUAAUGUUGAAAAAUUAGCGGAUGACCUGUGGCUGGGGGUGAAAGGCCAAUCAAACCGGGAGAUAGCUGGUUCUCCCCGAAAGCUAUUUAGGUAGCGCCUCGUGAAUUCAUCUCCGGGGGUAGAGCACUGUUUCGGCUAGGGGGCCAUCCCGGCUUACCAACCCGAUGCAAACUGCGAAUACCGGAGAAUGUUAUCACGGGAGACACACGGCGGGUGCUAACGUCCGUCGUGAA